UCCCUGCCCUUUGUACACACCGCCCGUCGCUACUACCGAUUGAACGGCUCAGUGAGGCCUCCGGACUGGCCGAGAGAGGUGGGCAACCACCACUCAUGUGCCGGAAAGUUGUACGAACUCGGUCGUUUAGAGGAAGUAAAAGUCGUAACAAGGUCUCCGUUGGUGAACCAGCGGAGGGAUCAUUA
rnacentral:rRNA from 1 species